CUCUUGCUCACCCUUGACUUGGAAAAACCAGUUUCUCUUUUAUUGUCUGUUACUAAUCUCUAUUCUAAAAAUUCAGCUCAAUUCUCAACCAUACUCCAAACUCUCUCUUUUCCAGCUACCUUUACUCCCUCUCCUUCAAUUCCACUUUCCUCUGCUUACUUUUUUUUUUUUUCUGACAGGGUCUCACUUUGUCGCCCGGGCAGGAGUGCAGUGGCUCAAUCUUGGGCUCACUGCAGCCUCAACCUCCCAGGUUCAAGCGAUUCUCCUGCCUCAGCCCCUCAAGUAGCUGGGACUACAAGCGCACACCACCACGCCUGACUAAUUUUUUGUAUUUUUUUGUAGAGGCGGGGUUUCACCAUGUUGCCCAGACUGGUCUUGAACUCCUGAGCUUAAGCAAUCCACCUGCCUCGGCCUCCCAAAGUGUUGGGAUCACAGGCGUGAGCCACCGCAUCCGGCCUCAUGUUCUUUUUCAUUAAAGAGAGAAAUCAACUAUUCAGGACCGGCCCCCACCUUUCCUCAGGAGUCAUUUCUGUUCCGCACAGGCCUGCUGAACUGGGUGCUUUAUAUAGGGGUCCCCAGGCAGGUGGCUGGGACACUAUUUGCAAUCAGCAAGGAACCCUGCUGCCCUUAGACUCCCCACAGAGCAAGCAGAACUUGCAGAAUGGGGUAAAAACACUCUAUUAAAGAUUUUUUAAAC
rnacentral:lncRNA from 1 species